rnacentral:misc_RNA from 1 species
GAGCGCGUGAGUGGUGUUUGGCGUGUAUGGGCAUGUUGGAUCCCUGCUCGGGCAGCGACGRCAUCUCAUGUGCGCCUCUUCAGUUGUUGGUGCAAGCGCGUGCUUGGCCGAAGUUGGUUUUCCUGUGUUGAAUACCUAUCUCGAAGGCAUUCCGUUYGCUAUAAAUGGGUGUUUUUCCACCUCGUGCUGCUGCUCCUUGCGGGGAAGCGGUGCGGGGAGGACCCCAAGGCRGCCGCUGUGUUUCGCACCGUGUUCACCCCUACGGGUGGUCCGGUUGACGACCCAUGGCGCGAUGCUCGAUCUCUUGGGUACGGAACAUGRCGUGGGUACGAGGCCGUCGGCCUCCGAUCACCACAACAACAAGCGUUCUACGCUUCGUGCGAACGACGGUCGGCUCGGUCUUUGGUCGUGCUCUCGUAGCUCGAUUGGAGU